GCACGGGUGGUUCAGUGGUAGAAUUCUCACCUUCCAUGCGGGAGACCUGAGUUCAAUUCCCAGUCAAUGCA
rnacentral:tRNA from 1 species